AAAGAACGAUGAAAUGUCUUGUCAUUCUAAAUCAAAUUAAAACUCGACAGCGGACUAUUUUUAUGUGCAUUUAGAACUUUGUUGACAGAUUGCGAUUCGUGCUCGCGUCGUCUGUCAAAGAUGAUUUGCAAAUUUUUCAUACUAGAAGCAAGGAGAUUGAAAAUUAUUCACAGGAAAAACAGUUUGUUUUGAGGCAAACAAAAUCAACAUUCAAUUAAAUAAAAAAGAGAGUUAAGGAAUUUACGUGGUAAGAUUUUAAUAGAACAAGCGAAAAAAGGAUCUGAAAAUGCAUUUAUGAGGGGGAGGACAGGGGGGUACUCUUUUUUCCUUCUCUCACCCCUCUUCUCCUACCCCUCUUCCCUCUCCUACCCUCUUUCCUUAUUUUUUUUUUUAAUUUACCGGAAAAAAGAGAUAUUUUAUUUUUUCAUAUUUUAUUUUUUUCUCCAACUUCUCCUUUUUCCCAACCUUCCUCUCCUUUCUCCUACCCCCUUUCUCCCACCCCUUUCUCCUACCUCCUUUCUCCCUGUCUCCCUUAUCCCUGUCCUCCCCCUCAUUUAUAUCUGAUACUGAUCAUAACUCAUGAAUAAAAAUGGUAUCUGGUCUCAGUUGGGCCAGAGACAUAUAUACAUGUAUAUAUGUCUCUGGUUGGUCUGCUGUGUCACUCAGUAGUCCAAAUAAUUAUGACGUCUGGCAAGGCUAUUUUAAUUUUUUUCUGGGACGCCUUCCUACAACUGUGUCAGGAUUUGACUGUCAAAGUGAUACAAAACUCUAGAAUUCUUCUGUAUAUACAAAUACACCGUGACAGUAGCUAAUCAAGAAAUUAAUAAAAGGGGGAACGUCUAGUGCCUGUGGUCCUAGUGUAACAGUAGUCCAAAUAAUUAUGACGUCUGGCAAGGCUAUUUUUAUUUUUUUUAUGGGACGCCUUGCCAGACGUCAUAUUAAAUUAGUUGGAAUAGUGUAACAGUAAAUUUGGUCCGGUUGUAAAAUUUGUUCUCCAGACUUUUUUUCCUAGUUACAUGUAAUUAAGUCCAUGUCCAUGAUUUUACUAGGAAUUAAUGUCCCAGGACAAAUGUUUCUAGGAAAAUCAGUCCAUAGCUAGUAAUUUAUGUUUGUAACUUGUUUUCCUAGGAAAAUAUGUCACAAGACUUGUUUUUCUAAUAGUUUUUUUGUAUCAUAAAAUAUAUUUAAAAUAGAAGAUUUUUUUUUUAUAGAUAAGAUUGGAAAAUAGAAGAAUUUUUUUUCCAAUAAAAAUGAAGAAUAUUUCCUUAAUAACCUAAUUAUUAAAAACAUAAAUAUUCAGUUUCCUUUGCUUAUAACAUUUUUUAUAAUAAAAGACAUGGACAUUUUUAGUCCAAAUAAUUAUGACGUCUUGAUAGGCUAUUAUAUCUUUUUUCUUUGACGCCUUACUUCGUCAAAUUAUGACGUCUUGUAAGUUGAAAGGCUUUUAUAUUUUUUUUCUUUGACGCCUUACUUAGUUCGUCGAAGUAAGGCUUCAAAGAAAAAAAAAUAUAAUAGCCUUUCAAGCUGUCAUAAUUAUUUGGACUAGGACAUUUUUACCUAGGAAUUCAAUACUAAUGACAUGGACAUGAUUUUCUAGGAAAAUAUGACAUGGACAUGAUUUCCUAGGAAAAUUAGUCUGGAGACAAAUUUUAUUUACAGCUAAUUUCCUAAAAUGCAUGUAAUGCAAAACUUUGGUUGGCUUGCCUUCUUUGUUUGUAUAAUUGUUUAUACAAGCUUUGUUAAUAAGAUUGACAUGAUGGUCAUCUUUAUAUAAUAUAUAUAUAUAGGCAUAGUUUAACCUGUAUAUUUAAUAUUUGAAUUUAAUUGGAUAUUAUCCUAAUGAGUGUACAAUUUAAAUACAAAGCAAGCAAGCUAACUUAAGUCUUGCUCUACAUGCUUUAGGAAAUUAGCUGUAACAGAUUGAUACACAACUCUUUCGUUUUGUCUAUAACAAUGUUAAAACAUAUUACAUUCAUAUUCACUUUUAAAAAUUAAAGGCAUAGACAUUUAAACCUAGGACUUCUAAUGACAUGGACAUGACUUUGUGGGAAAAUUAAUAGUCUGGGGACAUAAAUUUUAUCAAAAAUUUAACUAUGUGACUCUUAAACAUUACUAAAACAUAAGAUUUAAAUUUGCAAAUGCAAGUAAUUGAAUCUUUUAUAGGAUUUUAUAGGACAUGAUUACCUAGGAAAAUUUGUCUGGGGACAUAUAUAACUAAUAUCGGACUAAAUAUAUACUAGUAAAUUCUGUAACCAUGGACUUUUUAUACUAUAUAGUAAUAUUUGUCCGUCCUGAGUCCUGACAUAUUUUACCAGGACAAAUUUAUCACUCACACUUGUACUUGUUCGCCCUGGAUCAAUUUGCUCUGAUUUUUUUUUUGUACUCCAGUUGCAUAAUGUUAAUUAUUUGAACAUUACAUGUUAAAGUUUGUUGAAAAAUUUGCUGAAUUUUUGUAUUGCCACAACCAAUUUAUUAUUUCCCCUAUUUGCUUAGUCACUGUCAUGAUAGUAGCUAGAACACUGGAGUACAAUGUAUUAAUUUAUCUUCAUUGCUAUUUUUUAACAAAAUAAUUUGUUUUUUAAUACAAGUCUCAGAAUAUAUACAAAAUGUAAUUUUAAACGAACUUGUAAAUCCUUGUAUUAAAUUCCUGUUUUCGUGAUUUACAGUUCGUACAUCCAUGACAUCAUUGUUUUUAUUAAUUCCAAGCUGACUACUAGCUUAUAAAUCAAAACAAAAAGUUUGUUUUUUUAUUAUUGAUCCAUCAAAAGACAAUUAUCACAAAAAUCAGUGAGAAUAAUUUACAUGUUAUUGAACAAUUACCUUUCCUAUAAACUUUUAAAUAUUUAUGUUUUUUUUAUAAAUUUUAAGCUAUACAAUUCUUACUUGCAUCUCUGAAAUGUGCUUCUAUGUGGUUUUGUUAGCAAUUUCUGUACAGGUCUGCUAAAGGCUCAAAUUGACAUUUCACCCAAUUUCACCAUUUUCCCGCCAAAAUUUGGGUUUUAAGGCAAAAUUUUUAUUUUUCCUUAUUGGUGACCCUUGUAUUUGCCAGGGACGCAUACAUGUAUAUAAGUCCUUGUAUUUGCUUAAUAUUUGAAGCUAUAUUUCAGCUUUGUACAUUACAGAUUUGGACCAGGUCACACCUGAGGUGUCACAGACAGUUUUUAUUUGAUAUCCCAUAAAAAUAUGUCAGCACCUCUAUUUUCAUUUUAUUGAAAAUGGUCCCUUUAACAUGCUUGUACCUAUUUUGAAAGUAAAAUUUUGAGCUUAAAUGGUCUGGAACCCCUAUUUUUUUUCGACAAAUUUGAGGUACUCUUUGUAAAGAUUAAAAUAAUACGGCAUUCUGAUAGAGACUUUGAAUAAGUCUGAGCCAUCUUAACUGUGUAAAAUCAAAAGUAGCAGCACGAAAUAAAGUUAAAAUGAAUAUGAGUCCCCUGUAUUAUAUUUUAAACACCGCUUUUUUGAUGAUCAAGUAAUUCCUAAAUGAAUACUGGAAAAUGCUCUCCGAACAUAAAAUUUGCAUCAAAUAAUAAAAAGCUUCAUUUUAAUCAACAUAGAAAUAUGUUUCGAAUUUGAUGAUUUAUUGGGUAUAUAUGAUAUUGCCUUCACUCAGUUAUAAACUAGAAAAAAGUAAUGUUUAGCUCACCUAGCCCAAAGGGCCUAGUGAGCUUUUCCCAUCACUUUGCAUCCGGCGUUGUUACCUUUACAAAAAUCUUCUAGAACUCUGAAACUACUGGGCCAAAUUAAACCAAACUUGGCCACAAUUAUCAUUGUAGUAUCUUGUUUAAAAAAAUAUGUCAGAUGACCCGGCCAACCAGCCAAGAUGGCCGCCAUGGCUAAAAAUAGAACAUAGGGGUAAAAUACAGUUUUUGGCUUAUAACUCAAAAACCAAAGCAUUUAGAACAUAUAUCUGACAAGGGUAUAAUUGGUAUAAUUGUUUAACAGGUGAAGAUCUAUCUGACCUGAAAUUUUCAGAUGAAUCAGACAACCCAUUGUUGGGUUGCUGCCCCUGAAUUAGUAAUUUUAAGGAAAUUUUGCUGUUUUUGGUUUUUAUCUUUAAUAUUAUUAUAGAUAGAGAUAAACUGUAAACAGCAAUAAUGUUCAGCAAAGAAAGAUUUACAAAUAAGUCAACAUGACCGAAAUGGUCAACAAGGUCAAUUAAUCCCCUAUGGAGUUAUUGUCCUUUAUAGUCAAUUUUUAACAUUUUUGUGACAAAAAUUUUUACAAAAAUUUUCAAUAAUGAAUUUUGUUCAAAAGAUUUUUUCUACUAUUUACAUUUUCCACUAAAAACUAUGACAAAAUAGGGUCAAGUAAAUAAUGACAUUACUGUUCAGAGUUCAAUUUUCUCAUGAACAUUCAGCUUAAAUAUAUGAAAAAUAAGUCAAUUCAAUAAUGACGAUUUAAAGUUAAGAUGUAAAAUGGCAGUUGUUGCAAAGCUUUUCAAGUUCAUGUACAAAUUUGAUAUUAACACAUUUCACAUCAGUCACACACAAAUCAAACAAUUUUCAUAAAAUUUGUAAAUUUUUACAACAUUUUCCACUAAAACUACUGGGUCAAGUUUAAUAUAUAUAGAGAUAAUUUUAAGCAGCAAGAAUGUUCAGUAAAGUAAGAUGUACAAACACAUCACCAUCACCAAAACACAAUUUUGUCAUGAAUCCAUCUGCUUCCUUUGUUUAAUAUUCACAUACAUGUAGACCAAGGUGAGCGACACAGGUUCUUUAGAGCCUCUAGUUUAAAGUCUAGAAUACCUUUUUAUACAACCAUAAAAUUUUUGCAAUCAUAUAAUUAUAUUGGUAUGUAUCACAUCGUCUUUGUGGUCAGCUGAGCAUCGUUCAAAGACGGAUGGUUUCCAGAUAAUAACUUUAGUAUAAGUUAAUCAUGUUAAUAGAAAUGAAUAGAAUUUUAACACAAUGUUUAAAACAACAAAAGGAAGCUUGGGAUUGAUAUUGGGGGUUAUGGUCCCUAAGGUUUAGGAUAAGGGGACCAAAACAAGCAUUUAUCUAGUUUCAGGACAAUAAGUUGUGUAUAAGUAUUUCAAUUCCUCUGAAAUUGUACCACAAUGUUAAAUAUUAUAAGAUUUGAAGAAGGUUGGAAUUUAUUUUUAGGGUUAUGGGGCAAACAGUCAAGAAUGAUGGGCCAAACACAAGCAUUUUUGUAGUUUUAAGUUAAUGACUUGUGUAAAAGUGUAUGAUCUUUCUGAAAAUUAUACCCCAAUGCUCUAUACUACUAUGGGAUGGUUAGGAUUGGCUGAGGGUAUAGAUAAAACCAUUUAUGAAUAAGGGGCAAAAAAGAUGAAAAACAAUUAUUUUUCUGGUUAAAGGAUAGUCAAGACAAUUUGAAAGCUGUGUAAGGGAGGUAAUCCAAAAGUUAUAUUUGAAUUAUUUCACACAACUUUUAAGGUGGUACCUAACACUACAGGGAGAUAACUCUGUAAAGUCAGCUAAACGUUUUAAUUACGUUGUGUUGUUAAAGGGAUAUUAAGCUUUUCAAUGAUCAAAAUGAGUGUUUGUCAAACUGCUAUAUAACCAGUGUAAUUUUUCUGAUAAAACGGUUGGUUCAAAAAAAUUUAAAUUUUUAUAUUUUUGUCAAAGGGUCAAAGUAAAUACUUUGUCAAAAUUUUAAGAAAAUUAAACGAGCCAAAUUAAUUUUAGUUCAAGUGUUGGGUACCACCUUAAAGAUGUGAUUUUGAAAUUUACCAACAUAUAUAACUUCGGUAUUAAUAAAAUCCAUUGGAAAUUUGCCAAUAACUUAAGUUUAAUUAAAAAAAAUGCCAAUAGUUUUAGCAUAAGUAAAUAUAAAUCUUUGAAGUUUGAAACCACAAAAAGGAAGGUUUGGAUUGAUUUGGGGGUUAAUUUAUGGUCCCUUUGGUGUAGGAAAAAGGGGUAUAAAAGGGGCCCAAAUAAUCAAUUUUCUAUUGUCCAGACAAUAAUUUGUAGAACAGUUUAUAGAAUUGCCUGAAGUUUCCACACCACAAAACUCCAAAGGAUAGUUAAGGGUUGGAAUAUUGGAGUUAUGACUCAAUCUGUUUAUGAAUUAGGAGCAACAAAAGGGGAAAAACAAGGGUUUCCUGGUUAAUGGACAAUUACUUUAGAUUUGUUUCUUUUUUGUUGGUGCCUUUUUUUGCUAGUUCUUUUAUGAAUUUUUAUGCUCUACCUACAAUAGUAGAGAAGCAUUAUGUUUUCUAGUCUGUGCGUCCUUUCGUCUGUUUGUUUGUCUGUCCAUCCAUUCUUCCCACUUCAGGUUAAUGUUUUUGGUCAAGAUAGUUUUUGAUGAAGCUGAAGUCCAAUCAACUUGAAACUUAGUACAAAUGUUCCUUAUGAUAUGAUCUUUCUUAUUUUAAAACAAACAAAAUUAAAGACUUUUGACCCCAUUUUUAUGGUUCACUGAACAUAGAAAUUAAAAGUGUUCCCUCAGUUUCAGGUUAAAGUUUUUUUUAGUCAAGGUAGUUUUUGAUGAAGUUAAAGUCCAAUCAAUUUGAAACUUAGUACACAUUUAUCAUUAAAAAAGCUGAUUGUGUCGUUUCAUAUUGAAUUAAAAUUUAUUUACCUAAUUUAUAAUUUCAGCUUUUCCAUGCAUUGUAAGAUUUCCAGAAUAUAGAACAUGUAGUUCCUGAUAAAAAAAAAAACACCAAAAGAUUGCUACGAUAAAACUGUUGAGUAACUAUUUGUAAUACAGAAUGCAUCAAGAUGGUGGUAUGCUACAUAUAUAAUAUUGAUA
rnacentral:lncRNA from 1 species